AAAAAAAAAGUGUUUAAUUGAAAACAGCAAGAUGCAAAUCUCUUUGAUGUAGCUUCAACCUCGUUCCUGUGUCCUCGGUUGACCUACAGUGGAAAAUUAUCCUGCGACUCGCAUGUCAAGAUAUGUGUAAUGACUGCCUUUGGAUGAGCCAGUGGCAAUGAGAGGGACAGCGAGUCGCAGCGUUCCUUAGGAGCUUUAACCUUUUAAAGCUAGUAGUCUCUAGCUGGUGGCACUGCCACUGUAAAUCAGCCAGCAAGAAAAAGAACAAAUUCUGUCCCUUAUGCUGCACAUUCACACAUGUUCUUUUGAUAUAUUUAAAGUUAAUGGUGUAGUUCAGCAGUGGUGAGGCAGCAUCUACUGUUCAAAUUUCUCUUACCUUGCCGUGACACUGAGACCCUGAAACUUGCCAUGUGUGGUUCUAAUUCUGGACACUGACUACGUGACAUUGUGAUGCAACCUGGUUUUGCUGCUUCAGAGCUCCUUUUGGGUAAGCUUUAUCUAAUACUAGCCUGCACUGCCUUGAGCUACGUGGUUUGGAUCAGAGAGAAUGUCAACAAAGAUUAAAACAUGGAGAGAAUGAGCAACAAACCAAACUGGAUGGCAGUAAAGAGGGCAUGCUGCAGUUUGUUUCCGCUGACAUGUAUCUUAAGAAGGCACAGCAGUCAAUCAAGAUGUGUUCAUGCAGUUUAUGUGUUUGCAGCAUAUGGGUAUUUGAGCUGCAUACAGAUAUGAUUGACAUGGUGUUCAUCUUGAAGUGAAGAAGAAAUGGAAGCAACUCAACUAUGAAAAUGCUGGUUAUCACUCU